rnacentral:lncRNA from 1 species
GGCAGACAGGCAGGCAGGCAGCCUGCCGGGAGUCCUGUUGAAGCAUGCACAGCGCACACCUCUACCCGCACCCACCACCAGGACCCCUCGCCAUCACCUCCUUGAACCGGGAGGAUCCAGAGCCCGGACCGGGGUUCCCAGGGGGACUCUGCUCACCUUGCCUCAACUCAUACCUGGAAGAAGAAAAUAAAAGAACACUGUGUGAAAGGCAAGAUAAAUCGGUGGGCGAAGUUAACCCGAUCACACCAGCAUCGCCUAUUUGAGACUCGCUAUGCUCUCAACAGCCCCGAGGAAUUAUCUCAUGAUUGCAUUAGAGUGGAAAGACACGAAGCUGAGAGGCAAGCAGAACAGAAACUGUGAUAGAAAUUGUCCUAAGCUGAAGCACCUUGCGUGAACCUUGUGGAUGUCUGGUGCCUCUCCACUGCAUCUUGGUGCAGGCAGCACUGGCAUUCUCUGUCCAAAGCAGCUGCCCCUACCCUACACCUGGGUUUUUUGAGCAGCAAUGAGCAGCCAAAAACAAAACGAGCAAACAAAUGAGGCCGGGAGAGAGAGCAUUUGAGCCUACAGUUGGUUCGUGAGAGCAGAGGGGGAGGGGAGCUGGAUGAAUGGCCUCCUCAUGCUCUACCCCACCCCCCACGCCUGUCUGCAGGAAGUUCUGUGUGCCUUCUGCUGAAGAGUUGGUAGCCUGCCUUCAUUGUCAUUAUCGGUGUUCCUGGGGUGAUAAUGCCAGAUGUUUGAUCUGGAAAAGCAGUUGGCAGAUGCAGUCCAGGCAGCUUUUGCCUGUUUCCUAAGUGGUGGCAGUGGGGCAAAGGAGGAGGAAGCAGAGAUAGUGUGAAGAAGCCAACUAGUGGAGCCAGCAGCCCUCCGCUAAAGUAGAAUAACUAACUGUCAGCCUAUGGUCUGUAUUCACAUCCCAAGCUAAGAAGAGACAGUGGGGAGAGAGGUUUGCCCUGACUACACCCUCGGGUCAGGCACAUCUUCAGGUGCAGCCAGAUGGCUCUUAUUUGGUGCAAGGCUGAGAUCAUAAAGCUUUUAAGGUGUGAGCAUGCAUAUGGUGUGAGCAUGCGUAUGGUGUGAGCAUGCAUAUGGUGUGAGCAUGCAUAAGGUGUGGGCAUGCAUAAGGUGUGAGCAUGCAUAUGCAAAGCACAGGCAGAGGCAGGAAGAGGGAUUAAGCUUUUGGGGGUCUGGGGGAGGGGUUGGUUUUUCUGAGACAGGGUUUCUCUGUAUAGUCCUGGCUGUCCUGGUACUUACUCUUUAGACCAGGCUGGCCUUGAACUCACAGAGAUCCGUGUGAGUGCUGGGAUUGAAGGUGUGCACCACAGCUGCCCAGCAAAAAGAAUAUUUCAUGCAUAUGACUAUUUUGACCUGCUUUGGCCAAUAGAAAUGCAGAAGUAAAAGUGUGUUCCUUAGUCCAGAUCUUGGGAGACGUCAUACACAUGUGCUUGCUCUCUUGGAAUAGACAUUCCAUGAAUGGCUUACAGAGGCUCAGUGAUGCCCUUCAACCAGCUGAUGGGAUUGUACUAGCCAUCUGUCCAGACACUUGAAUUGGCCCAGCACAGAUCAGACAGACCUAUUCCCCAUCCCCCACCCCCACAGACCCAUGACCAACAACGAGGGCUUUUUGUUUUAAACUAGAAUUUAGAUUGAUUUGUUAUGUAACUCACAGCUAAUGGAUACAUUUGGUCUACCUGCUCCUGGUUCCUGGCUCAGAUCCCAGCCCAAACCUGACGCGUUGAACAGACGUAGGCAUAGACGAGGAGGGAAGGCCGACGAGAGUUGCCAGAGGACUUCGUGCUAGAAGCAGACAGGCAGUCACAGCACCACUUGACGCUUAGAGGAAAUGGCUUUUAGAAAGUCAAAGAGCAGAUCCAGAUCGACUCACAGGCAUCCGACCCCAGAGGACUCUCAGGCUUGUGAAUCACAGGACCUGGAAAGAGGACACAGGAAAGGAAGCAGGACCUUUCCUGUUGUCUCUGCCAUGGAAGAGCUGACAGCACGCUACGAAUGGUCAGGAACCUUCUCCAUCCCUAGUCCUCUAACCCAAAGCUGGGCGAAGUUUUUAAAAUGCUUUCUAAAAACUGUCUGGUGGCUUGCAUGAUUACAUUUU